GAAAUGCGAUAAGUAAUGUGAAUUGCAGAAUUCAGUGAAUCAUCGAAUCUUUGAACGCACAUUGCGCCCGCCAGCACUCUGGCGGGCAUGCCUGUUCGAGCGUCAUUUCAACCCUCAGAACCCCUUGCGGGAUCUGGCGUUGGGGAUUGGCAUCCAGCCAGCCCCGAAAUCUAGCGGCGGUCCCUCCGCGACCUCCCCUGUGCAGUAGCGAUACCUCGCAGCGGGACAGCGGUCUGACCACGCCGUAAAACCCCCAACUUCUCAAGGUUGACCUCGAAUCAGGUAGGAAUACCCACUGAACUUAAGC
rnacentral:misc_RNA from 1 species